GAGAUUAUUGUUCCCUUUUAAUUUUAAUUUUGGAACUACAGUGUAUUUUUUUUUUUAUUGUUGCUUUUGUCCACCACAAUUUUUCAGCAACAUACAUCCACCAGAGUUUUAGGAUCAAAUGGAAAACCGAAUAAAUCAACAUUACUGAUGAUGGAUUAAAACUAUUUCCAGCAGAGGAAUCUCCUCUCACUGUGCAUCUGUUGAGGGUGACUCUGUUAUCUUUUUGGGCAUCCUUAAGGUACAGUAAUUAGUACCAGCUGUAACUGGUACCAGCUGUAAAAGCUCUAGCUCUGGAAGCUGCAGAACACAGCUCCUUGGGGGUGAGCAUGCUCUCAGAGAUUGGAAUAGGGGAUGCAAGAGCAGGAUACAAGCUGGGAUGACCACAUGCCCCACGUGACAGCAAACUGGGAUGACUGGGAGGGGGGAUGUGGCUAUGCUAUCUCACCACAUUAAAGGACACGUCACCACAAAACACACAUAAUGCUGUUCUCUGUGUUAACGUUUCAUGCAUUUAAUUUAUAUUUUAGGAUUGUUUUGAAGCAGGUUCAUAACUACUCAGAGUUCUUAAGUUAUUCUUGAAUUGUUGCAAAAAUAAAAUAUUGCAGGACUAUUUCAGCGUGGUCAGAUACUAUCUUCCUUUGUACAGCUGGUACUGCAUUUUCAUUCUGCAGCAAAGUGUCCAAGCAUGCCUUCUUGGGACUGAUCCUUUAAAUUUCACAGAGCCAAGCUGAUACAGCUUUUGAAUGAACUUGCUGCUAUUUGCUCUCGCUCUCUCCCUUUUCCAGCUGGUGUGUUGAGGAAUGGGAAAGGACAGAGAAAUCACCGUGUACUUGCAGACAAUGGACUAAAGUUGCCCGUGGUGGCACAAACACAUCCCUGUAUUCCUCCUCAAGCUCCAUAGGGACUGAGAGGACCAAGAAUACCCUAUCCCCCCUUCUCUUCUCCAUGAGUCUCUCCCUUCUAGGAGCAGAGGCCAUGCCCCCCUGGGGCAGCAGGAUGGGGGUACCUGCCGCACAGGUGUAGCCGUGCCUGAGCUCCCCCCCCAGCCAUUCACGGUAUCACUCCUUCCAAAGGCAGCAUAGCUCCAGGCAAAUCUGCUCCGCAGAUU
rnacentral:lncRNA from 1 species